GACGAACGCUGGCGGCGUGCUUAACACAUGCAAGUCGAACGGAAAGGCCCUGCUUUUGUGGGGUGCUCGAGUGGCGAACGGGUGAGUAACACGUGAGUAACCUGCCCUUGACUUUGGGAUAACUUCAGGAAACUGGGGCUAAUACCGGAUAGGAGCUCCUGCUGCAUGGUGGGGGUUGGAAAGUUUCGGCGGUUGGGGAUGGACUCGCGACUUAUCAGCUUGUUGGUGGGGUAGUGGCUUACCAAGGCUUUGACGGGUAGCCGGCCUGAGAGGGUGACCGGCCACAUCGGGACUGAGAUACGGCCCAGACUCCUACGGGAGGCAGCAGUGGGGAAUAUUGCACAAUGGGCGGAAGCCUGAUGCAGCAACGCCGCGUGCGGGAUGACGGCCUUCGGGUUGUAAACCGCUUUCGCCUGUGACGAAGCGUGAGUGACGGUAAUGGGUAAAGAAGCACCGGCUAACUACGUG
rnacentral:rRNA from 1 species